rnacentral:rRNA from 1 species
UGGGGAAUAUUGGACAAUGGGCGCAAGCCUGAUCCAGCCAUGCCGCGUGAGUGAUGAAGGCCCUAGGGUUGUAAAGCUCUUUCACCGGUGAAGAUAAUGACGGUAACCGGAGAAGAAGCCCCGGCUAACUUCGUGCCAGCAGCCACGGUAAUACGAAGGGGGCUAGCGUUGUUCGGAUUUACUGGGCGUAAAGCGCACGUAGGCGGACUAUUAAGUCAGGGGUGAAAUCCCGGGGCUCAACCCCGGAACUGCCUUUGAUACUGGUAGUCUUGAGUUCGAGAGAGGUGAGUGGAAUUCCGAGUGUAGAGGUGAAAUUCGUAGAUAUUCGGAGGAACACCAGUGGCGAAGGCGGCUCACUGGCUCGAUACUGACGCUGAGGUGCGAAAGCGUGGGGAGCAAACAGG